rnacentral:rRNA from 1 species
UACAGAGGUCUCAAGCGUUGUUCGGAUUCAUUGGGCGUAAAGGGUGCGUAGGCGGCGCGGUAAGUCGGGGUGUGAAAUCUCGGAGCUUAACUCCGAAACUGCAUUCGAUACUGCCGUGCUUGAGGACUGGAGAGGAGACUGGAAUUUACGGUGUAGCGGUGAAAUGCGUAGAUAUCGUAAGGAAGACCAGUGGCGAAGGCGGGGUCUCUGGACAGUUCCUGACACUGAGGCACGAAGGCCAGGGGAGCAAACGGGG